CUGAGGAUAUGGAGAGACACAAAACUUCCUACACAGUGUUGAAUGCUUGUAUGCGAGAAGGAGCUUUAGUCACCGAUCAUAUACUGUACAAAAUUGAGUAGAUUAAAUAUCUUAGCAAACUUGACUUUCCGUUGCAUGAACAGUUAGGCAAGGAUGCAAUAAGCUUCUGAUCAGAUCGAAGUCUCGUGUGGAUACCCGUAGAGGUCGGAUGCUUGUGUGGCUACAAAGGACCUUCAAAAGACAUCUAUAAUCAUCAGUUCGCGGUGAAGAUCGACUGUGCCAAGGUAUGUUCUUUAUUUAUUUUUUUUUAUUUAAUUUCUGUAUCUGAAUCUUAUCUCUUAUAUGUCGAUCAUGUUUAUGAUUUGAAGAUUUGAUCUUAUGCAUGCUUAGAUUAAAUUAGAUUUAAUCUAAAAAUUUUAAAAUUUUACUGUAUACUUAUUUUGAAAAUUUUUGCAUACAUAAAACUAUAAAAAUUUAAUAGUGAUAUCAGAGCCACAUCAUAUGCAUGAGAUUAGAAUUUUCAUCUAAAAUCUGUAGAGAAAAUUUUCAAAUCUAAAAUAUUUUGACGUCGUUCUGACAUAAGUGUAUGAUUGUCCUACAAUGAUGUUAAAAUUUUUAAUUAAAUUAAAAUUUUAGAUCUAAUUUUUCCAGCAUAUAUAUGAUAUAUGUUUUGUUGUUUAAAUCUGAAAAGAGUUUUGAGAUCUAUUUUUAAUUCAUAUAUGUGAUAUAUGAAAUCAUGUU
rnacentral:lncRNA from 1 species